rnacentral:pre_miRNA from 1 species
CUCAGGGAGGGGGGGGUCCCUCAGCCCAGAUUGCGAGAGGGUGCAGGCCAGGCCAAGGGACCCCACCCGUGUACA